CCAGACUCCUACGGGAGGCAGCAGUGGGGGAUAUUGGACAAUGGGGGGAACCCUGAUCCAGCGAUGCCGCGUGAGGGAAGAAGGUUUUCGGAUUGUAAACCUCUGUGGACAGGGACGAUAAUGACGGUACCUGUCAAGAAAGCCACGGCUAACUACGUGCCAGCAGCCGCGGUAAUGCGUAGGGGGCAAGCGUUAUCCGGAUUUACUGGGUGUAAAGGGAGCGCAGACGGCAGUGCAAGUCUGGAGUGAAAGCCCGGGGCCCAACCCCGGAACUGCUCUGGAAACUGUGCGGCUAGAGUACUGGAGGGGCAGGCGGAAUUCCUAGUGUAGCGGUGAAAUGCGUAGAUAUUAGGAGGAACACCAGUGGCGAAGGCGGCCUGCUGGACAGUAACUGACGUUGAGGCUCGAAAGCGUGGGGAGCAAACAGGAUUAGAUACCCUUGUAUG
rnacentral:rRNA from 1 species